rnacentral:rRNA from 2 species
CAAAUGACUCUCGGCAAUGGAUAUCUCGGCUCUUGCAUCGAUGAAGAACGUAGUGAAAUGCGAUACUUGGUGUGAAUUGCAGAAUCUCGUGAACCAUUGAGUCUUUGAACGCAAGUUGUGCCCGAGGCCUUGUGGUCGAGGGCACGCCUGCUUGGGCGUCAUGA